rnacentral:rRNA from 1 species
GUGGGGAAUCUUGCGCAAUGGGCGAAAGCCUGACGCAGCCAUGCCGCGUGAAUGAUGAAGGUCUUAGGAUUGUAAAAUUCUUUCACCGGGGACGAUAAUGACGGUACCCGGAGAAGAAGCCCCGGCUAACUUCGUGCCAGCAGCCGCGGUAAUACGAAGGGGGCUAGCGUUGCUCGGAAUUACUGGGCGUAAAGGGCGCGUAGGCGGACAGUUUAGUCAGAGGUGAAAGCCCAGGGCGCAACCUUGGAAUUGCCUUUGAUACUGGCUGUAUUGAGUACGGGAGAGGUGAGUGGAACUCCGAGUGUAGAGGUGAAAUUCGUAGAUAUUCGGAAGAACACCAGUGGCGAAGGCGACUCACUGGCCCGUUACUGACGCUGAGGCGCGAAAGCGUGGGGAGCAAACAGGAUUAGAAACCCUAGUAGUCC